UGAAUAGAGAACUGAUAAUUGCAUAUAACAUAUGUCAGAUUUCGGAAUCCAUUACAUAUAUAUAUUUAUUGUUUUGUAGAGUAAUUAGUUUUAUGCAGCUAAGAGUGGAGGUAGAAUAGCAAGAACAAGGAGUGGCUCACCGAAAACUACGACGUUUAUAUACACUCCGACGACUACACACCAUAACGGCCAAGUCGAGCCGGGAAGACGAUACAGAGGAGUGAGACGGCGGCCAUGGGGGAGAUGGGCGGCCGAAAUUCGAGAUCCCAACAAAUCCGCCAGAGUGUGGCUCGACACUUUCGACACUGUCGAAGUGGCCGCCGAAGCCUACGACCAAGCCGCCCCCAGGUUCAGAGGCAGCAAGGCUAAGCUCAAUUUCCCGGAAAAUGUAAGCUUGUUGCCUCCUCCUUCUUCGGCUAGGGUUUCAUCUCCCGCCGCUCGCUUUCCGACUAGUCUUUAUUCUAAUUUCGGUUCGCUGGCGGUCGUCAACCGCCCCGGGGAGUUUGUGGUUCAGCAUCCCCCCGUGAGUUUGUUAGAACAACGGAUAUGUUCGCCGGAAUCUUUGUCCUCAAUGUUCCCUUCUGCUCAGCCACCGGUUCGUUUCAGCCAUGCUGGCGGCCAGAGUAGCAGAACGGAACAUCCCGCUGCUUCUUGGUCGGAUUAGACUCACCACCUGCUUCGAGGGACCAUUUUAGGUGUAUGUUGCAAAUUAUGUGAAGAAGCUGCACUUGCUUGGGAAAACCAUUCUUGAGGUGAUUGAAUUGGCUGACAACAUGCGCAUCUCAUCGAAAGAAUCGGUGACCAUAAUACUAAGAAAGUCUCUAGCUGUUACAACAUUAUAGCAACAUACAAAGUUAUUUUCCUUUCUUUUUGCUAUAACAACAGACAAAGUUAUAAUCUGCAACCCUUUGUUCUCGCCUCCGAUCUGAGAAAGCAAGGCCUCCAUCUUUCAGAUCUGAGAAACCCAGAAAAACUAAUCUGGGUUUUUGUUCUUCUGAGGUGAAGUGAAGAAGCUAAGGCCGUCGAAAAUGGUAAGAGUGAAGACAGAAAGUGUGUUUCCUAGUCCGCCGGAAAUGGUAGGAGAGAAGUCAUUUUGGUUUGCCGGAAAUGGUAGCUUGCCGGAGAAUAACAAAGAGGUGUGAAAUGACUAAAAUGCCCUCAUUAUUUUAGGGUUUAAGAUUUUUCGGUGAGAUUUGGUCGGCAAUUUCGCCGGAGUGACCAAAA